rnacentral:tRNA from 1 species
GUCACCAUAGUUUAAUUGGAAGAACUCGCAGGCUACAAUACCUGUUAAUGUGUCGGUUCGAAUCCGACUGGUGGCUA